AUCAGCAGAACAAUGGGAAGGGAGCAAGAUAGCAGCUCCCAGUGGUGCCCCAGACUCCCCUGCUGCCCUGGACCGCUUCACUCUAGCCAGCUGGCCAUUCAGAUUUUGCACAAAGCUACAGUCCUCUUAUAGUCCAUUGAUAUUGCCCUGCAGUGGCUACAAGGACACAACCAGUGGGCAACAUCUCCACAGAUCAGGACCUCAGGGCCAUUACCACUAUACUGAACCCGGAAAUGGACAAGUCCAAAACCCCAGGGGAGGCGCUGAAACCCUCCAGCGGAUUGGGCACCAUGGAAAGAACCUCCGAGGCUGCAGAAUCCCACAGGCACCCAGGUCUGGAUUGUUAUGACGUUCCUGACUUGGCAGAUGAUGAUGUCUCCCAGCUUUAUGAAGCUUUGGAUGAACUUUCAUUGGUAGAUGGAGCUCAAGUUAUUGAUUCAGAAACUGCUUUGCCCCAUGUCUCCAGUACAGUAAAUGCCUCCUGUAUGGCUACAGCCUUGGACGAUAAUGCUAACUGUUAGUAACCAACUGGGCCUUUCCUAAAAUAUAGACAGAAAAGGGUCCGACUGUUGCUCAGAGCAAAGGCAGAAAAGCAAAGCGCAAAGGAAAACUGAAGCGUUCCCAGUCUCCAACAAGUGAGUCCCAUGACUCGGGCCGGGUCGGCGGGCCGGUACCAGUGCGGCACGUAUGGCCACAAGUGACCCAUAGCUCAUUACUGCAGUCUCCAAGCAAGUGGGACAUUAGGCUCCUGAAAGCCAAAUUAGCACAGCCUGCUGGGAGCUCAGAAAUCUAUUCGGCAGAAGGUUUCCCAGAGUUGGGGGCAGUUGUUCCUCAUGGUACAAUGACUUAACUCUGCAGGUCCCCAAUCCAAGUAGCUCAGCUCUUCAAUUGCCCCUCUCCCCUAUCUUCUCAUUAAACUUUCAAGCCCACAAAUCUUUUUCGUGCUGUCGUCAAAGUGGGCCUCCACUCCUGGGCAGAACAUGGAACUUAACAGCCAAAAGUCACAAAUGGUGACUUAUUCCAAAAGUGAUUAAUUGUUGCACCAUGUCCGAUGGAAUGGCAGAACAUAAUGAACCCUCUCUACCUGUUAAGUGCCCUACUGGGGGGUGUCAUGGUGGUUGGUGGAGAAGGAUCCAUUAACUGCUAAGUAUCUGCAUGGAGGAUUUUGUUUUUUGUUCCCAAGGGGGCGCUCCUGAUGCAGCUGUCUAACUGGCACUGUAUAUUGCACUAAUUGCUUUCCUUGUUAUCAACCUCUAUACAAACAAUUAAAUUGUUUGCUCUAAA